UACGGGGGGGGCAAGCGUUGUUCGGAAUUACUGGGCGUAAAGGGCGCGUAGGCGGCCAGCGCAAGUCAGUUGUGAAAUCUCCGGGCUUAACUCGGAAAGGUCAACUGAUACUGCGCGGCUAGAGUGCAGAAGGGGCAACUGGAAUUCUCGGUGUAGCGGUGAAAUGCGUAGAUAUCGAGAGGAACACCUGCGGCGAAGGCGGGUUGCUGGGCUGACACUGACGCUGAUGCGCGAAAGCCAGGGGAGCGAACGGG
rnacentral:rRNA from 1 species